CCAAUGCAAGUCGAGCGAAUGGAUUAAGAGCUUGCUCUUAUGAAGUUAGCGGCGGACGGGUGAGUAACACGUGGGUAACCUGCCCAUAAGACUGGGAUAACUCCGGGAAACCGGGGCUAAUACCGGAUAACAUUUUGAACCGCAUGGUUCGAAAUUGAAAGGCGGCUUCGGCUGUCACUUAUGGAUGGACCCGCGUCGCAUUAGCUAGUUGGUGAGGUAACGGCUCACCAAGGCAACGAUGCGUAGCCGACCUGAGAGGGUGAUCGGCCACACUGGGACUGAGACACGGCCCAGACUCCUACGGGAGGCAGCAGUAGGGAAUCUUCCGCAAUGGACGAAAGUCUGACGGAGCAACGCCGCGUGAGUGAUGAAGGCUUUCGGGUCGUAAAACUCUGUUGUUAGGGAAGAACAAGUGCUAGUUGAAUAAGCUGGCACCUUGACGGUACCUAACCAGAAAGCCACGGCUAACUACGUGCCAGCAGCCGCGGUAAUACGUAGGUGGCAAGCGUUAUCCGGAAUUAUUGGGCGUAAAGCGCGCGCAGGUGGUUUCUUAAGUCUGAUGUGAAAGCCCACGGCUCAACCGUGGAGGGUCAUUGGAAACUGGGAGACUUGAGUGCAGAAGAGGAAAGUGGAAUUCCAUGUGUAGCGGUGAAAUGCGUAGAGAUAUGGAGGAACACCAGUGGCGAAAGCGACAUUCUGGUCUGUAACUGACACUGAGGCGCGAAAGCGUGGGGAGCAAACACGAUUAGAUACCCUGGUAGUCCACGCCCUAGACAUGAGAGCUAAGUGUUAUAGGGUUGUCCGCCU
rnacentral:rRNA from 1 species